rfam:Chaetomium globosum CBS 148.51 scaffold_1 genomic scaffold, whole genome shotgun sequence.
GGCAAGGUGGCCGAGCGGUCUAAGGCGCCAGGUUCAGGCCCACCUGAAUUGGCUCAUUGAGCAUUCCUGGUCUCAGUAAUGGGGCGUGAGUUCGAAUCUCACCCUUGUCA